GUUCUGACUUCAGCAGCACAUAUGCAGAGAUUGGAGCUUUAUAGAGAAAAUUAGAACAACCCCUGCACAAGGAUGUCACACAAAUUUAUGAGGUGUUUCACAGUUUG
ensembl:snRNA U6 U6 spliceosomal RNA